AUCGGGUGCGAAGACCCGGCCGAUCUGCGUCGGCUCGAUAUCGACAUGGAUGAACUUGCGGCCUUCCGUAUAGGUCGGGAUGUUGCCGGUGU
rnacentral:sRNA from 1 species